ACAUUAGUAGUAUCACGUGAUGCGAUUCGUACAAGGCAACCACUCCCAAUAAUCCAUAUUGCUUUUCUUUUCCCAACAAUAUUUAGCCUACUCGGUAGAUUUCUAAGGAAACUACGUACCUAACCAUCAUAACAUCCGACUUACCUGAAAGUGGUUCGGCUUCUUGAAAGUGACACCACUCAAUAUUUCGUUGUAUUCUU